AUGUUUUGGACAUGUUUAAGGCAGGUUGAUGUAGGGCUAGUCUUGGAUUAUUGUGGGAAGCAUAUGACUGUUUGGAAAGCAGGGUAUUUGGACUGGUUUUGGCUGUAUUUGGUAGCAAUGGCAGGUUUUGUGCACAGUAGCAGAAUGGACAACAAUUGGCAAGGAACCAAGUUGAAAUUUCAUGGAGAUUUAUGGCAUAUCAUUGUAUUACUUUUAUGGUUUAGAAAUUUUGUAAUGUUAUUCUCAAUAUCUCAUGUAGAACAUAAAGAAUGA